GAUGAACGCUGGCGGCGUGCCUAAUACAUGCGAGUCGAGCGAACAGACGAGGAGCUUGCUCCUCUGACGUUAGCGGCGGACGGGUGAGUAACACGUGGAUAACCUACCUAUAAGACUGGGAUAACUUCGGGAAACCGGAGUUAAUACCGGAUAAUAUAUUGAACCGCAUGGUUCAAUAGUGAAAGACGGUUUUGCUGUCACUUAUAGAUGGAUCCGCGCCGCAUUAGUUAGUUGGUAAGGUAACGGCUUACCAAGGCAACGAUGCGUAGCCGACCUGAGAGGGUGAUCGGCCACACUGGAACUGAGACACGGUCCAGACUCCUACGGGAGGCAGCAGUAGGGAAUCUUCCGCAAUGGGCGAAAGCCUGACGGAGCAACGCCGCGUGAGUGAUGAAGGUCUUCGGAUCGUAAAACUCUGUUAUUAGGGAAGAACAAAUGUGUAAGUAACUAUGCACGUCUUGACGGUACCUAAUCAGAAAGCCACGGCUAACUGCGUG
rnacentral:rRNA from 1 species